rfam:Daucus carota subsp. sativus cultivar DH1 chromosome 3, whole genome shotgun sequence.
GGUCUUGUAGCUCAGUUGGUCAGAGCAUUGGCCUAUAGAGGCUAGGUGUCGAGAGUUCAAAUCUCUUCGAGACCA